UACGGAGGGUGCAAGCGUUAAUCGGAAUUACUGGGCGUAAAGCGCACGCAGGCGGUUUGUUAAGCUAGAUGUGAAAGCCCCGGGCUCAACCUGGGAUGGUCAUUUAGAACUGGCAGACUAGAGUCUUGGAGAGGGGAGUGGAAUUCCAGGUGUAGCGGUGAAAUGCGUAGAUAUCUGGAGGAACAUCAGAGGCGAAGGCGACUCCCUGGCCAAAGACUGACGCUCAUGUGCGAAAGUGUGGGUAGCGAACAGG
rnacentral:rRNA from 1 species